UGUAGCACUUCGCUCAUCUUUCUUGUAGUAAGUUUUGAUUAUAUCUCCUUUCCUUUUUCUACAAGGCCACCUUUCAUUGAGAUUGAUCACUUUCACAUUACGUACGAUGAGUUCUAUGAUUCCUUCAAGGCAAGGGGAUUGGUUGGUAACAAUGUAAUGGCUUUGUGGAGUUAUGAGUUCAAUCUUGACCAGCUUCAAAUGCUUAAAGAGAAUAAAACAAGAGAUAUUAAAUUUGCUUUCCCCCAGUUGGCCACGUCAUUCUUGAGUGUGGAUCCAGCUUCUUUCAGUAAUGAUGGGACUCUCAAGAAAAUUUACACCAAGAUAAAUGAAACAUGGACUAUCGCCAAGAUGGAUCUGGUACGUGAGGUGUAUAUACAUUGUUUCGUUCCAAUGAGAAAGGCCAUCAACGAAGCAAGGGCACUCAUUUCAAAUGGGCAGUACUAAUGUUACAUCUGAGUUGCUCUACUGAAACAGCAAAGUUUCAUUACUGUUACAUAUGAAGAUAUCCUAAUGAAACAGUUGUAUAUACUGUGUACAUUCGAAAGGUUGAACACUGUUACAUCUGUGAUCUUCUAUUGCAACAGCAUGGUAGCACUAUUGUUACAUCUGAAUUGCUCUAGUGAAACAGCAAUGGUUGAACACUGUUACAUCUGUGAUCUUCUAUUGCAACAGCAUGGUAGCACUAUUGUUACAUCUGAAUUACUCUAGUGAAACAGCAAUGGUUGAACACUGUUACAUCUGUGAUCUUCUAUUGCAACAGCAUGGUAGCACUAUUGUUACAUCUGAAUUACUCUAGUGAAACAGCAAUGGUUGAACACUGUUA